UGUGCAAGUUUGCUUUUUUGGGGAAA
rnacentral:piRNA from 2 species